CUCUGCUGACCUCCCGGAGGCGGCGACGGCCUGCCCUCGCCCCGCGCCGCCGCUCCUGCCGCGCCCACCUUCCUUGCUCUCUUUCCUACACAUCCCACGGCCGACGGCCCUCCACCCGGUGCUUUCCUCCUACGCGUGCGGCUCCGGACCAGGCCUGCCCCCGAAGCCGGCGAACGCGCCCUCCCCCCGAAGUCGGCUGCUCCCGAGGCGUCCUCCUCUCCAAGCCGGCCUGUCCCGACGAGGACUCCUCCCGCGCCCUCCUGCCAGGCCGCUCCGCUUCCUCCCGCGAGCAGAAACCUCUCCCGCGCCUGCUCCUGGAUCCCCACAGCGGGUAAUCACAGAGACCUCGGCACAUCCCUCUUCAAGGUACUAGCGACAAUGGACGGAGAAGGAUACUGGACAAACUUGUUGAAUAGUGACAACAAUAACCUGAGUAUGGAUGGUUUUAGUAUCCUGCCUGAGGAGCAGCAAUCGCCUGCUAUACCAGGUGAGGCGGAUCAACAAUUGGCCGUUGCUGGGAGUACACCCUCAGCAAGACCAAACCAAAAAAGAUCAAAAAAUUUUAAUGAGAAAGAGGACAAACUUCUUGUCUCAGCAUGGCUGAACAUCAGUACAGACCCAGUGCUAGGCACUAAUCAAAAUCGUGGUACAUUUUGGAGUAGAGUUCAUGAGUACUACCACUCAAACAAGGAGUUCGAAUCAGAUCGCAGCGAGAGUUCACUUUCACACUGAUGGAAAUGUAUUCUUCAGAGUGUCAACAAGUUCUGUUCGUGCAUAACUCAUAUUGAGGGUAGAAAUCAGAGUGGGGUUACUUUUCAAGACAAGCUUAUGCAGGCACUGGCUUUAUUUAAGUUUCAAGACAGUGAGAACAAGCCAUUUCAAUACUUGCAUUGCUGGAAUAUCUUGCGGACUCAACCAAAGUGGCAUGAUAAGCGGAAGCAAUUGGCAGCUGACAAGCAACCCGGUAACAAGAAACAAAAGGCCAACACGGAUUCAAGUCAGAGAACAUCCAUACCGAUCAAUGUACAUACUAGCAACACUAUCACGGAGAAUGGACCUCCUGAAGAGACCGAGGUUUGCAAGAGACCGAUGGGUAAGAAGGCCAAAGAAGCAUUGCGGCGAGGUGGAGGUGAUGCUUGUGUGGAGGCCUUAGACCAUUUAUGGGAAAAAAGAGAGAAUCUGAUGUAGAAAAAGAAAAAAAGAAAGAGGAGAGAUACAACCAGUUAUAUGCACUAGAGAAAGAGAGAUGCAACCAGUCAUACUCACUAGAGAAAGAGAGGCUUGAACUAGAAAAAAGAAGGGUUGAAGCUGAAGAAUCAAGGGCUGUAAAUGAGGCAAAAAAUCUAGAGAUAAAGGCACGUGAAUUACCGCACACUAGAAUGUUAGAUGAGGAGAGAAUUAUGACGAAGGACACUACUGCGCUACCUCUUCCACAACAGCAAUAUUACAAGGUCCUGCAAGAUGAGAUCCUUGCUCGUCGUGUUCCAAACUAGCUCUGAUGGACAGCAUAUGGAGAAGUUGUGGAGUGGCACUCUAUUGCUAGAGAUGCAAGCGCCCAAGUUGAAGUCUUUUAGAUUUACCAUUUAAUUUUCUUACUCUGUUUUGAUGUCAUGUGGAUUUGACCAUCAGUUUGUCUCCAUUUAUUUAGCUGGUACUAAUCUUCUUACCUUGUGUGCUUGGACGUAUUUGUUAUCUUAUUUUCAGUCCAGUAGAAGUUACUUAGAUUGACCAUUUUAAUUUGAUUAUUAUAUUUAGAUGUCAUGUGGACAAGACACUCUUUAAACCUUGCUUGUUUUUAAACCUUGAUU